CCUACGGGAGGCUGCAGUGGGGAAUAUUGCACAAUGGGGGAAACCCUGAUGCAGCAACGCCGCGUGAAGGAAGACGGUUUUCGGAUUGUAAACUUCUAUCAAUAGGGAAGAAAGAAAUGACGGUACCUAAAUAAGAAGCCCCGGCUAACUACGUGCCAGCAGCCCCGGUAAUACGUAGGGGGCAAGCGUUAUCCGGAAUUACUGGGUGUAAAGGGAGAGUAGGCGGCAAGGUAAGCGAUAUGUGAAGGCCUUAAGCUUAACGUAAGGAAGGCAUAACGAACUAUCUAGCUAGAGUACAGGAGAGGAAAGCGGAAUUCCUGGUGUAGCGGUGAAAUGCGUAGAUAUUAGGAAGAACACCAGGGGCGAAGGCGGCUUUCUGGACUGAAACUGACGCUGAGGCUCGAAAGCGUGGGGAGCGAACAGGAUUAGAUACCCCAGUAGUC
rnacentral:rRNA from 1 species